GCUGGGGAGGCAUCAGGAAACUUACAGUCAUGGUGAAAGGCAAAGGGGAAGUGAGGCCCUCUUACAUGGUGGCAGGAGAGAAAAAGAGCAAAGCGACAACUGCCAAACAUUUUUAAACCAUCAGAUCUCAUGAGAACUCACUCACUAUCAUGAGACCAGCGUGUGGGAAACCGCCCCCAUGAUCCAGUCACCUCCCAGGAAGUCCCUACCCUGACACAAGGGGACUACAGUUCAAGAUGAAAUUUAGAUGGGGACACAGAAUCAAACCAUAUCAAUACUUUUUCUUUUUUCUUUUAUUUCUUAAUUGAUGUAUAAUGAUUGUACACAUUUAUGGGGUACAUAGUGCUGUACAUGUAACGUUUAGUGAUCAGAUCUCAAACGUUUAUUAUUUUUUGUGUUGAGAACAUUUGAUAUCCUCCUAGCCAUUUGACACUAUGUAUUAUUACUAAUUAUAGUCAUCCUACAGUGAAAUAAAACACUGGAACUUGUUUCUCCUAUCUAGCUGUAACUUUGUAUCCUUUCAAAAAUUCUCUCAUCAUCCUCCUUCCUCUUACCCUUCCCAGCCUCAGGUAUCUUCUAUACUACUUUUUACUUCUAUGAAAUCAACUUUUUGUAUACUUUUUAUUAAAGAAGUUCUACAAAAUUGCAUAAACAUAGGCCCUACAAAACCUGGAUCCAUCUGUAAUAUCAGGCAUCCCUUUGGAAGAAUAUUUUUGCUGCAAUGUCCUCUAGAAGGUUCCGCAGGCAAUCCCCAUUAGCUGAAUCCAAACAGAAGCCAGGGUGUAAGGGAUCUUACUCAUGUAAGCCAUACAAGUCACAGAACAGAGAAAGAAGUCCAGAGAGGGGCCUGAAGGAAUAAUUGAGUGUUCAAGACACCAGCCUCUUAUGACUUCAGGAGGAGUCACCUGAGUGUGAAACUGACACUGUAGAAGUCAGAGCAGAGUACCUGGGUACCUGAAGACAAGGAACUCUAAAGUCUGCCCUAUCUUGGACUUCCUGCUACGUAAGUAACACAAGUCUUUCAAGUCUAUUAUUCAAGUCAGUUUAACUCAGAAAAUCUUUAACCUACAUUGGCAAUUAUCUUAAUGCUUUUCAAAC
rnacentral:lncRNA from 1 species